rnacentral:rRNA from 1 species
UGAGUAAUGCCUAGGAAUCUGCCUGGUAGUGGGGGACAACGUUUCGAAAGGAACGCUAAUACCGCAUACGUCCUACGGGAGAAAGCAGGGGACCUUCGGGCCUUGCGCUAUCAGAUGAGCCUAGGUCGGAUUAGCUAGUUGGUGGGGUAAUGGCUCACCAAGGCGACGAUCCGUAACUGGUCUGAGAGGAUGAUCAGUCACACUGGAACUGAGACACGGUCCAGACUCCUACAGGAGGCAGCAGUGGGGAAUAUUGGACAAUGGGCGAAAGCCUGAUCCAGCCAUGCCGCGUGUGUGAAGAAGGUCUUCGGAUUGUAAAGCACUUUAAGUUGGGAGGAAGGGCAGUAAGUUAAUACCUUGCUGUUUUGACGUUACCGACAGAAUAAGCACCGGCUAACUCUGUGCCAGCAGCCGC